ACCGAUAGUCAACGCGCGCACGACCGUCGUUCAAUUUGAGCAACAACUCGUAAUCGGGACAMUGAUUAGAUCAACACCCGCUCAAUGUUCCACAUCCCAAAGAACUACUAGGGACCAUUGGCCAUUCCACCACAUCAUUUUACGCGGGUGGGUGGACAACGGACCUAGCAUGAAUAGUCCACCCGACACCCCCGAGGGAAUGUCAAGCGGAGAAUUUUAGGAUGAGACAUCUUAAUUCCGUACCGAAGGCAUUGAACACAAGAAAACCAUCUUAGCCCAAGGCCAACAAGAGCACUUGUGGCAAAGAAUGAAGGGGGUCGCCGAUCAACGGUUCGCUGCACAAGCAGAGAGCCCGCCAACCCAAGCAAACCGAUUGCCACUCACGCGCUUCACGAAACACUACGCCAGGAUCRUUUCCCCUCACCCACAUGACCACAAUGUAGUCCCCAU
rnacentral:misc_RNA from 1 species